rnacentral:misc_RNA from 1 species
GAUGAAGAACGUAGCGAAAUGCGAUAAGUAGUGUGAAUUGCAGAAUUCAGUGAAUCAUCGAAUCUUUGAACGCACAUUGCGCCCUUUGGUAUUCAUUAGGGCAUGCCUGUUCGAGCGUCAUUUAAACCUUCAAGCUAAGCUUGGUGUUGGGUGACUGUCCGCUUCACGGCGGACUCGCCUCAAAAUUAUUGGCGGCCGGUACAUUGGCUUCGAGCGCAGCAGAAACGCGAACUCGGGCCCGUCGUAUUGGCUCCCAGAAGCUAUCUUCACAAUUUUGACCUCGGAUCAGGUAGGGAUACCCGCUGAACUUAAGCAUAUCAAUAAGCGGAGGA